GUUUGCGUUCCUUUGUCCUCCAUCUUUUACCUCUUGUAGUUACACAAGAACAACUUGAUUGUGCUAAAGAGGCAAUCAAAUCUACAGUUCUGAUGAACUUGGAAUCAAGGGCUAAAGUAACCUGUCUCUGUUUGGUCAUUAUGCUCUAGGAUCCUUCAACUUGACAUCACAGCAAUCGUUGAGGAGUGUAACCAGCAACCUCAGCUCUGAAAGAACCCUAGAGUAAACACUCACAUCAAGACACUCCACUGUUCACUCUUGGGCUGCUCCUACCAAUGAAGCAAGAGCAUCUCCACCUGGCAAUGGUC